rnacentral:lncRNA from 1 species
UGACAUAACCAAUCUCAAUUCAUCAUAAUCAUCAAAUUGUCUCAAUUACAUGACAAAUUAGGUUUAAAUAAUAAAACAAAACCCUAAAGAGAAGGGGCCCUCCCGGGGUGGGAGAAAAACUCGACCCCGUUGAGUUGGUAAAUCCCAAGUAUUGCUGUUGAUUUGGUAAAUCCAUGAUUGAUAGUAAUGAAAACUGCAGCUUAUUUUCAAGAAUAUAAUUUGACCAAGAUGAACUGCGCAAAGGAAGGUCUUACUGGCUCCUAUAAAAUUUCAACGAAUUUGGAUCAUGCUGUUGAAGUUUCUUUCUGGGUUCCAUGUACCAUCAGCAUCAAGUCGAUCCACCCAACGAACUACAAAACACUAAACCUCUCUAUCAUUGGUCAACACAACCUGAUCAUCUAAAAUAACAUCAAUCUUAUCUUUGUGUGCUGUGAUAAGUGGUAUUGGAGUGGUUAUAGCAAAAGAUUCGUGUAGGAAUUCUCAUGUGGAUGUAAAAAAUUAUCAUCAGAGGGGUUAAAAUAGCCUUUGUAAGCAAUGAAAUUCUUAACAGUUAAAAUAGCACGGUAGCCAAAAUGUAAUAAAAGAUCGAUGACACGUGUAUUUGAAUCAACAUGCUUUAAAAUAUCAUAAAGACCAGCACUACAGGCUUACAAUAUAACAUAAUCCCCAAUAUUAAAUUUAUAAUUUCACUUAUGCAAAUCAACUUGAAGUUUAUAUACUGCAUUACUUACUCCAAAUUGUUUAAUGAUCUCAAUAUGCAAGUCAUAAAGAUGAUGUACAAAUGUCUCAGUUGACAUAAACACAUUAGCAUGUGGGGAUAUUGGAAUAAGGUCUAAAGGAUUCCUAGACUUAUAACCGUGAGUAACUUUGACGGAACUCAUACCUAUAAAUCGAUUCACAAAUUUGUUAUCUUGGGCAGGUUUCAAGAUGAGAUGGAUCCAACUGAAGUGGAUUCUCUCUCUCUCUUUUGCUCUUAUUCGUCUAUGCAAUUUGAAUUGUUGGAAGAAUCAAAUUUCAAUUCCCAAUAUGUUCCUUGAAAAUGGCAUGAUUACGCAAAUAAUCAAGACCGUUGGGAUGGAUAAGGGUACGACAUACAAUAUUUGACUAAGAGAUUUUGAGAGAAAGGGGUACAACCCCUAGAUUCAUAGGAAAAGUCCGGAUACUACAUAAGGAAGUGUCCUCAAUAUCAUUCAAGUCAUCACAUUCCUCAAGGUUAGGUUCAUAGAUUUGAUAUUCUAACCGAUCAUUCAUUACAUCAUUUUGUUCCUCAAUGAUUAGCGUUCGACUCAGAUGUUUGGGAGAAGUUUAACCAAAGUCCUUACAGUUGAAGCACUGCAAGUGAGAAGAAAUCAUUGGCGCUUCAAAAUCUUGACUCUUAUUUUCCAACAAAGGAAGAGCAUUAGAUGGGAAAGGUACUAAAAGGGACUUAACAGGAGGUGGCGUUGAUUUUGGAGGAACAUUAGACGGAGAAGGCUCUAUGAUAGACUUAUGGCGAGGUGGUGCUGAUGAGAUGAGUGAACGAUGGUGACUACGCUUUUCAUAUGAAGUACUAAUAAGUAACUCGUAGUCCCGAACUAAAGAGUAAGCGUGAUCAAAAGUAGUGACACCUGGAAAAAAAAGUUCACGCCUAAGUUCAUCUGUUAAACCUUGUAUAAAUCUACUCAAAGUUAGGUCUCAAAUUCAACAACAUGACAUUUCAUUCGAAAUUCCUCAAAUUGAGCAAUGUACUCAGUUACUAGCCGAUUUCCUUGUGUAAGGGUGUUCCAUUGGGUAAAAAUUUCAUGAUUUAAGUAACCAUUGAAAGUAGGGGUGUCUAAUUUAACAUCUCUAAAGAAACGCUCCUUAUGACGAGGAAGAGAAUGAGUACCAUGAUGACUAUGGCCUUGUUCUUGCUCACGAACUUGAUCCCUAUCCCUACGAUCAUGCUUACGGUUGUUCAGACUAGCAGCUAGAUCUUUGCUCUUUUCAUGAGUAGCAACCAUCUCAAUUGGAUAGCCGCUAAUUGAGUUUAUAAAUGCUGCUGGCUAGUAGCAAGUUGCCCUAAUUGUCUAGUGAGUGCAUCAAAUUGAGAUGGGUCCAUGGUCAAUGUAUUGGAAAUAGAGGCGACAAGACGACCACUACGCAACUACAUGCAAUGUAAUACCAGCUAAAUGACUUGCAAUGAUGAGAUCAAUGAACAAUAAGUGCAAGCAAUGGAAAAAUAACAACUUGAGCAUUUUAUUUAUUUAGUUAUUAUUAUUUUUUUUUUUUGGAUUAAGUAAAUUCAAAUACGACAAGCUAAUAUUGUUGGUUCAUAUAAAAUAGCAAAGCAAAGAUCAAACACUAGUCAAAUUCUCUAAUCACGUUGAGAAGUGGGGAACAACGGGAGGUCAAUUCGUUUAAUAAUUUUGAUCAGAUGGGGUUUAAGGUUAAAAUUAUUAAGUUAACAGCAAAACAAAGAGUUUAAUUGAUGCAAUUUUAAAAAUGAAGCAGUAGUAUAAACCAAUGAUAAAUGAAAUAGAAUCUUUCUUCACUCGUGGAGACGCUGUAUUGAUUCGUUGAGAUGCCAAGAUAGAAAAUUCUCAUGUUCGUUGAGAUGCGGUAUUGAUCAGUCAAACCAAAAUAUGCCUGCAAAACAAUGUUAGGAAAUUCUUGAUUUUUUUUUGUUUGGUUUCUUUUCUUCUCUCUUUUUUUUGGCUUUUCUUUUUUCUACUCUUUUCUCCCUCUUUUUUCCCCCAAAAACUUCUAACUAAACAGAUGGACCAAAACACGGAUAUAAACGAGGCCCAAAACAAAACUAAAAGUAGAGAAUACAGACUAAGCCCAAACAAACAACUAGGCCUUGGAAAUAACUCCUGAUUUGUUUCUCACAUGAGAUCAAUCCCAAAAUUUGUUGCGUUCUCGUUAGAAAUUGUGUGCAGAGAUAUAGACAGCAGCGGCGGUGCUGAGAGAUGGUUCGUCGAUGGUCGGUCUGGGAAGUAUAGGUUACUGAUGCUGGCGGUUUGUGGGUAAUUCAUUGAGUAAGAAGAGAUAUGGGUCGUCGGCGCUGUGAGAGGUGGGAAGGCAGUGAUUAAAACAGGUGGGUUACUUAUUGGAUUUGGGUUCAAGUAUGGAUUUCUUGUAGACGAAAGGUGGAAUUUCACUUGUGGGCUGUGGAAUGAUGCGAACGAUUCGCGUUAGUGGUGUGGUGACUGGUUUUUUUAGUGAUUUGGUAGCGGACGGAGCUUGAGAGGUAGGGUUGUAUGGUGGUUUGUUGCAAGGGAUUGGAUGAUGUACUGAGUAUACGUCUAUUGUAGUAUUGUAUGUAGAGGGUUAUUUUGUAUAUUGGUGCUGUUGGAAACCUUGGAACAAAUUAAGAAUUCUCCCUUUGUGGAGUUGUCGGGAACUUACAAGGUGAUGACAGGCGGUUGUGACUUGAGCGAUGUGUUUGGCUAUUGGAUGAAAUGAAUAGAGCAAUUGCAGUUACAACUCUAUUUUGUGGAAGGAAACAUGUUUAGCUGGGAUACCAAAUUUGAUGCAGGAUAAAUAAGAAAACAGCAAGAAAGAGGGGAGAAACAGAGAGAAGAGAGGAGAGAAACCAGAGAAGAAGUAGAAAUUAAGGGGAAAAGGGAACAGAAGGAGAUGCCACAACCAAUCUCAAUUCAUCAUAAUCAUCAAACUGUCUCAAUUACAUGGCAAACUAAGUUUAAAUAAUAAAACAAAACUCUAAAGAUAGGGGGCCCAAGUCCACUAAAUAAUAGUCCAAUUAAAAUAAACAAAAUAAAUAAGAGUCCAACUAAAUAAAAAUAAAUCUAGGUAAAUGUCCUCAUUAGUAAGUCAUCCCCAUUAUUUUUCAAUUUAAAUAGAUUUUCUGCUUGAUAAUGGGGUCCGAUCUUUGUUGGUGGGUUGCCAUAAUCUUAGUGGCUUAACUUUGUAUCUGCAGCCUGGGGAGCUAAUGGAUGUUGGUCUGAGUUAUAUUGGACAAUACAGUGCAAAAUUGAGAUGGAUGCUGUUGGGUUUUGCUAGGGAAUCUGAUAAAGGGAUAAUUGAAUUUUCCAAAGGCUGCCCUAGCCUUAGAAAGUUAGAAAUGAGGGGAUGCUAUUUCGAUGAAAGUGCAUUAGCAGCUGCUAUAUAACAACUAACUUUGUUGAAGUAUUUGUGGGUGCAAGGAGACACUACUUCAACAGCUGGUUGGGAAAUAGUACAUUCUUUUGGAUCUUGGUUAGUUUCUACCUUAG